CCUACGGGAGGCAGCAGUGAGGAAUAUUGGUCAAUGGACGAGAGUCUGAACCAGCCACGUAGCGUGAAGGAUGACUGCCCUAUGGGUUGUAAACUUCUUUUAUAUGGGAAUAAAAUGUUCCACGUGUGGGAUUUUGUAUGUACCAUAUGAAUAAGGAUCGGCUAACUCCGUGCCAGCAGCCGCGGUAAUACGGAGGAUCCGAGCGUUAUCCGGAUUUAUUGGGUGUAAGGGGAGCGUAGGUGGUUUGUUAAGUCAGUUGUGAAAGUUGGCGGCUCAACCGUAAAAUUGCAGUUGAGACUGGCAGUCUUGAGUACAGUAGAGGUGGGCGGAAUUCGUGGUGUAGCGGUGAAAUGCGUAGAUAUCACGAAGAACUCCGAUUGCGAAGGCAGUUCACUGGACUGAAACUGACACUGAGGCUCGAAAGUGUGGGUAUCAAACAGGAUUAGAUACCCGAGUAGUC
rnacentral:rRNA from 1 species